rnacentral:rRNA from 1 species
GAUGAACGCUGGCGGCGUGCCUAAUACAUGCAAGUCGAGCGAACAGACGAGGAGCUUGCUCCUCUGACGUUAGCGGCGGACGGGUGAGUAACACGUGGAUAACCUACCUAUAAGACUGGGAUAACUUCGGGAAACCGGAGCUAAUACCGGAUAAUAUAUUGAACCGCAUGGUUCAAUAGUGAAAUACGGUUUUGCUGUCACUUAUAGAUGGAUCCGCGCCGCAUUAGCUAGUUGGUAAGGUAACGGCUUACCAAGGCAACGAUGCGUAGCCGACCUGAGAGGCUGAUAGGCCACACUGGAGCUGGGCCACGGUCCAGACUCCUACGAGAGGCAGCAGUAGGGAAUCUUCCGCAAUGGUCGAAAGCCUGACGGAGCAACGCCGAGUGAGUGAUGAAGGUCUUCGGAUCGUAAAACUCUGUUAUUAGGGAAGAACAAAUGUGUAAGUAACUAUGCACGUCUUGACGGUACCUAAUCAGAAAGCAACGGCUAACUACGUG